rnacentral:rRNA from 1 species
AGUGGCAGACGGGUGAGUAACACGUGGGAAUCUACCUAUCUCUGCGGAACAACACAUAGAAAUGUGUGCUAAUACCGCAUACGCCCUUCGGGGGAAAGAUUUAUCGGAGAUAGAUGAGCCCGCGUUUGAUUAGCUAGUUGGUGAGGUAAUGGCUCACCAAGGCGACGAUCAAUAGCUGGUCUGAGAGGAUGAUCAGCCACACUGGGACUGAGACACGGCCCAGACUCCUACGGGAGGCAGCAGUGGGGAAUAUUGGACAAUGGGCGCAAGCCUGAUCCAGCCAUGCCGCGUGAGUGAUGAAGGCCCUAGGGUUGUUAAGCUCUUUCAACGGUGAAGAUAAUGACGGUAACCGUAGAAGAAGCCCCGGCUAACUUCGUGCCAGCAGCCGCGGUAAUACGAAGGGGGCUAGCGU